AGUACAACUGAUAUUUUAUUAUUCCUCAGAAUAGUUGUAUGAAAGAAAAAGAGGUGAAAUGCAGAUAUAGUAAACGAAAGAGAAGAAAUCCAGGUGACGGCCAGGUUGUUUGAUAUUUGAAGAAGUUGAGGAAGAGUUGAUAUUUGAAGAAGUUGAGGAAGAGGGAUUCUUGUUGAUUAUAUACCCAACUGGCUUUACAUUUCUUAAAUCAUUAGAAGUGAGAUCUACCGUUCUUUAACUUCUCAGAUCUAGGUAUACUGCAUCUUUACUCAUGUCGAUCCUCUUCUUUCUUCUCCGCAAUAGAUCUGGAGGUUAUAAAAUAGAUAUGUGAGACUAAGUAGAGUUCUUGUAGGAGAGAGAGGAGAAAUACUAAACAAGAUGAGAAUCAUACCUUUCGAAUUGAAAAUAUUCGGUUUGUUUUUUCGGUCGAUCCAUCCGGUCGGACCGGAUUUUGACCGGUUCGAAAGAUAAGCGUAUUGAAGUCAAAAUCUGGACCGCCCAUUCAGCCAUUUUGCGGUCGGACCAGUUGAAACGUCGGUCGGACCGCGUAUUUUAAAACUAUGAUUUGCGCCUGCACUUGUACCUGCGCUCUAAAAGGGUCAUUAGAAACCUUUCUUUUCUGUCUCGCGUCCUCUCUAUUCAAUUAACUUUCUCAUGUGUUGGGUUCAUGUAGUUGAGCAAAAAAUGAGGUAAAAUAUUAUUGCCCUUUGUGUUUUGUAAGAUAAAAUAUCAUUUUUUCUUCUUUACUUGGACAGACAGACUAAAUAAUAGUGAGUUAGAAUGAUGAUGCACGAAUCCAUGAAUGGUGGUAACAACAACAACCAUAAUAAUAGUCUUUCCUCAAAGCAACGAUUACGUUGGACACACGAGCUUCACGAAUAUUUUGUUGAAGUUGUUGCUCAAUUGGGUGGCCCAAAUCGUGUUACUCCAAAAGGUGUUCUUAGAGUGAUGGGAGUGCAAUGCCUUACUAUAGUAGUGGGCUUCAAAUCACGGAAGCGUUGAAACUUCAAAUGGAAGUGCAAAAGGGGCUUCAUGAGCAAUUAGAGGUGCAAAAGCCCAAGGAAAGUAUUUAAAAAAAAUAAUGGAGUCGAGUUUGAGCAAAACGCCUUAUCAUCCUCAGCAAAUGCAUUCGGUCUUUCUUUCUAGAGAAUAGUUUAACAACCAUUCUUCCUCUUUUGGGAAUGCUCAUCAGUUGGAGAAUGAUUCAAGCAGCAAUAUUUAGGAUUUGUGUAUUAAUUAUUGUGUGGUCUCCUCUUAGAGCUUCAUUUUAGUUUGUAGAUGGUUAUCAGGUUUAAGAUCUGCCACACUUUGCAUUCUGCCCUCUUAUAUAUAAAAUUGCAUGCUUUUUCCUUCUUC